UACGGAGGGUGCAAGCGUUUAUCCGGAUUCACUGGGUUUAAAGGGUGCGUAGGUGGGCAGGUAAGUCAGUGGUGAAAUCUCCGGGCUUAACCCGGAACUGCCGUUGAUACUAUCUGUCUUGAAUAUAGUGGAGGUGAGCGGAAUAUGUCAUGUAGCGGUGAAAUGCUUAGAUAUGACAUAGAACAUCUAUUGCGAAGGCAGCUCGCUACACUAUGAUUGACACUGAGGCACGAAAGCGUGGGGAUCAAACAGG
rnacentral:rRNA from 1 species